GUACCAUUUGCACCCAGUUUAGUUAUCCUACCCAACAAACAAAAAUUGAGCUGCACCCGUAUAUUAUACAUUAGUAUAUAAAGAUCAUGUAAUGGGUCAAGGUUAUAGGGUUAGAUUUUUAGCAUAUUUCAUGACAUUUCUAUACAUUGAUGAACAUAACAUAUCCAUAUGAACAAAAUUUUUAAGUCUGGCAAGGUUUUACUUGUCUGUCUAUAUUCUAGAUUCUAGCUGAGGGCUGCAGACAUGGAGACACCUAAGCAAUAUGCAGUUACACAAAGAGAAGAACAUUGGCACGAAGAGACCGCAAGU